AUUUGAAUUGGUGAACUUAGUAAAGCAGAUGGCUCUCACCAAUAAGGGCACGCAUCAUCUAAUCUGUCGAAGGCCUGAAUAAAACAAAAAGGUAGAGGAAAGGAAAAUUUGCUUCUUCUCUUCUUGGUCUAGCAUAUCAUCUUCUCCUGCCCUUGGAUAUUAGUGCUCCUGGUUAGUGGGCCUUCAGACUUAAACCAGGAUUUACCCCUUUGGCUUCCCUGGUUCUCAGUUCUUUGGACUUGGACUGAAUUACACUGCCAGCUUUCCUGGUUCUCCAGCUUGCAGAUGGCAGAUCAUGGGACUUCUUGGCCUCCAUAAUUGUUUUCAUAUCUCCAGGCUUUUCAUUGGGUCAGGUUGGCAUUUCACUGCCCUUUGUGUGUGUGACAAGUGAAAAUAGGGAAAGAAAAGAAACUCAAGUGAAGAAAACCAGAAUCUGUGCAGCAGAUCCGAGAUGUUUCAGCUGCUUCCCACGUACCUGCCUCAUCAAGCCCCAGCAUCCAUCUCCUUGCUCAUCUUACACCCCGUGUGCAGGACAGGCCCACUAUUCGUUUAUCAGAACAAAGCCUCUCCCCCUAUUCUGGUUCACCCUUCACUUAGCCAGAUAUACAAGAAUAUCUGCCCAGAUGACCUGUCUCACCUGGGAGCUCAGAGGAGCUCAGAUUCCAUUACUAUCACACCAAUGACAGAUCUCCCAGCAACAAUCACAGAAAAGACUAACUGCCCCCAAAAUCUCCCUUCCAAAACACAGUUCUCCUCAUUCUCCCAAGAAACCGGAAUGUGACUGCUCACUUCUCUAAGGACCUGAAAACAAUUGGCCAUUUCAGUUAUUUAAAUCAACUUUAAAAAUUUCAACCCCCAAAAUAUUAAACCAUUUUGGUUGGAAUGAUAAAAUAACUAACUUGCUGACAGUUGCUUGGACUAUUUGCAGAAAUGGAAAAAAAUACUUCUAAUCAGGUCAAAUCACUCUGCCUUUGGGAUUCUAAAUUUACUCAUAUUCUCAAAGAAAUAUAUUCAGUCAUAGUAGGGAAAAUAGGAUUAUUCCUUUAGCUCAAUAAGCAACCAGAAGUUCUUUCUUCAAAUCUUGACAUUUAAUCAAUUAGAAAUUGAUUUUCUGGAAAACUGUUUCCUAUGAAACUAUCUCUGCCUGCAGGAUUUUUCUUUUACAAUCCAGACUAUAGAAGGAAAUUCGCAACCUGGACUUUCACCUCCAAUGGUCAGAGUUUCACUGACCAAUUCCCACCUCUGCCUUACACCUAACAGAAGUUUUUGCCUCUGUUUUCUCUUCACAUACUCCAACAGUUACAAAUGGUUGUUAUUAUUAGGCAUCUUUUAUUUUGUGACCCCUGAUUAUAUGGUCCACUAAAUUUUGACCUAAUCACAAAAGAUUGGUAAAAUUUUUUAACAUAUUAAUAAUAUUUUAUGUGUCAAUAUCUUAGCAUGUAUCGAUUAAGACAGAGGUCUUAACAUUCUCUUUUUGAAAAAGAAUAUUAAGAUUCAGAGAUAUUAAGAGAUUCUCCCAGGAUUACAGUUAGGUAACAGAGCUGGAUUUUAGUCCAGGUCCAUCUACAACUCUAACAUAUGUAUACCCUUUUUAUAACAUGGCACGAAUUCAGCGUAAAGGGGUCUUCAGUCAUCUAAGUCAGGGGUCAGCAAACUUUUGCUAAAAAGGACUAAAAAGAAUAUUUCAGGCUUUGUGGACCCUGUGGUCUCUAUCACAACUGUUCAAAUCACCAUGUAGUGUAAAAGGAGCUAUAAACAAUAUAAACUAACCAAUGUGAUUAUUUUAUGGAAUUUUUAAAAACUCUUUAUUUACAAAAGCAGCUGGCAGGUCAGAUCUCACUUAUGGGUCAUAGUUCUCUGACCUCUGACCUGAUAAAAUCUUAUAUUUGUGGACAACAUUUAGACUGUGACCUGCUGCGUAAGAAUGAGAAGCUCUGUCAACUGAAGAUCAAGGCUGGAGCUAUGAAAGCAAAGAGCUGCCUGGUGUUAAUGAUAAGAGGGAUAGUUAAAGUUAGAAGAUUCCAACUGUAAGAAGCACAGAGAAUAACGACCAUAGACUCCUGAACAAGAAUGUCUGGACUUCUGGCUUGGGUACUCUGGUUGUAUGGUCUUGGCCAUGUUACCUAAUCUCCCCAGGCCUCCUUUUUCUUAUCAUUAAAUGAAGAUAAUAAAAGUAUUUUCCUCAGAGGGCUGUAAGAAUAAAAUGAGCUAACACAUGUCAAGUACAUAGAAUAGGGCCAAGCCUAUAUUAAUUUAUCAAUAAAUGCCAGAUACAUAUUAGUUC
rnacentral:lncRNA from 1 species